rnacentral:rRNA from 1 species
GUCGAGCGGGCGUAGCAAUACGUCAGCGGCAGACGGGUGAGUAACGCGUGGGAACGUACCUUUUGGUUCGGAACAACACAGGGAAACUUGUGCUAAUACCGAAUAAGCCCUUACGGGGAAAGAUUUAUCGCCGAAAGAUCGGCCCGCGUCUGAUUAGCUAGUUGGUGAGGUAACGGCUCACCAAGGCGACGAUCAGUAGCUGGUCUGAGAGGAUGAUCAGCCACAUUGGGACUGAGACACGGCCCAAACUCCUACGGGAGGCAGCAGUGGGGAAUAUUGGACAAUGGGCGCAAGCCUGAUCCAGCCAUGCCGCGUGAGUGAUGAAGGCCCUAGGGUUGUAAAGCUCUUUUGUGCGGGAAGAUAAUGACGGUACCGCAAGAAUAAGCCCCGGCUAACUUCGUGCCAGCAGCCGCGGUAAUACGAAGGGGGCUAGCGUUGCUCGGAAUCACUGGGCGUAAAGGGUGCGUAGGCGGGUCUUUAAGUCAGGGGUGAAAUCCUGGAGCUCAACUCCAGAACUGCCUUUGAUACUGAAGAUCUUGAGUUCGGGAGAGGUGAGUGGAACUGCGAGUGUAGAGGUGAAAUUCGUAGAUAUUCGCAAGAACACCAGUGGCGAAGGCGGCUCACUGGCCCGAUACUGACGCUGAGGCACGAAAGCGUGGGGAGCAAACAGGAUUAGAUACCCUGGUAGUCCACGCCGUAAACGAUG